UUCUCUGAUGCUGUCAGUGAAAGAGCCUAGUGGGGAAACCCCCACUCAACUCCCGAUUUGGCGUGCACCCAAGAAUCACGAACAGACGA
rnacentral:pre_miRNA from 7 species